GACAGAGGUCCCGAGCGUUAGGCGGAAUUACUGGGCGUAAAGGGCGCGUAGGCGGCCAUCUAAGUCAGACGUGAAAUCCCCCGGCUUAACCUGGGAACUGCGUCUGAUACUGGACGGCUUGAGUAUGGGAGAGGGAUGUAGAAUUCCAGGUGUAGCGGUGAAAUGCGUAGAUAUCUGGAGGAAUACCGGCGGCGAAGGCGGCAUCCUGGACCAUUACUGACGCUGAGGCGCGAAAGCUAGGGGAGCAAACGGG
rnacentral:rRNA from 1 species